rnacentral:rRNA from 1 species
AUUGAACGCUGGCGGCAUGCCUUACACAUGCAAGUCGAACGGUAACAGGUUAAGCUGACGAGUGGCGAACGGGUGAGUAAUGUAUCGGAACGUGCCCAGUCGUGGGGGAUAACUACUCGAAAGAGUGGCUGAUACCGCAUACGACCUGAGGGUGAAAGCGGGGGACCGUAAGGCCUCGCGCGAUUGGAGCGGCCGAUAUCAGAUUAGCUAGUUGGGGGGGUAAAAGCUCACCAAGGCGACGAUCUGUAGCUGGUCUGAGAGGACGAACAGCCUAACUGGGACUGAGACACGGCCCAGACUACUACGGGAGGCAGCAGUGAGGAAUUUUGGACAAUGGACGCAAGUCUGAUCCAGCCAUGCCGCGUGCGGGAAGAAGGCCUUCGGGUUGUAAACCGCUUUUGUCAGGGAAGAAACGAGUUUCUCUAAUACAGAGACUUAAUGACGGUACCUGAAGAAUAAUCACCGGCUAACUACGUGCCAGCCGCCGCAGUAAAAC